UACGUAGGGUGCGAGCGUUGUCCGGAAUUAUUGGGCGUAAAGAGCUCGUAGGUGGCGGGUCACGUCGGGUGUGAAAGCCCGGGGCUUAACUCCGGGUCUGCAUUCGAUACGGGUCUGCUGGGGUCCGGCAGGGGAGACUGGAAUUCCCGGUGUAGCGGUGAAAUGCGCAGAUAUCAGGAGGAACACCGGUGGCGAAGGCGGGUCUCUGGGCCGGUACCGACGCUGAGGAGCGAAAGCGUGGGGAGCGAACAGG
rnacentral:rRNA from 1 species